rnacentral:rRNA from 1 species
CCUAUACAUGCAAGUCGAACGCUUCUUUUUCCACCGGAGCUUGCUCCACCGGAAAAAGAGGAGUGGCGAACGGGUGAGUAACACGUGGGUAACCUGCCCAUCAGAAGGGGAUAACACUUGGAAACAGGUGCUAAUACCGUAUAACAAUCAAAACCGCAUGGUUUUGAUUUGAAAGGCGCUUUCGGGUGUCGCUGAUGGAUGGACCCGCGGUGCAUUAGCUAGUUGGUGAGGUAACGGCUCACCAAGGCCACGAUGCAUAGCCGACCUGAGAGGGUGAUCGGCCACAUUGGGACUGAGACACGGCCCAAACUCCUACGGGAGGCAGCAGUAGGGAAUCUUCGGCAAUGGACGAAAGUCUGACCGAGCAACGCCGCGUGAGUGAAGAAGGUUUUCGGAUCGUAAAACUCUGUUGUUAGAGAAGAACAAGGAUGAGAGUAACUGUUCAUCCCUUGACGGUAUCUAACCAGAAAGCCACGGCUAACUACGUGCCAGCAGCCGCGGUAAUACGUAGGUGGCAAGCGUUGUCCGGAUUUAUUGGGCGUAAAGCGAGCGCAGGCGGUUUCUUAAGUCUGAUGUGAAAGCCCCCGGCUCAACCGGGGAGGGUCAUUGGAAACUGGGAGACUUGAGUGCAGAAGAGGAGAGUGGAAUUCCAUGUGUAGCGGUGA